rnacentral:lncRNA from 1 species
GUGUUGAGGUACAAUAUCCAAUAAAGAAAAAUAAAUCUAACAUUAAGACGAAGUUGCAAGUGUUGAAUUAAUAUUUCUGAAUGCAGUUGUUUGCCAGCCCAGAAUUGCAUCAAUUGAGGGCAGUAUGUUUAUUAUACUAAGUGCUUGCAGAAAUUAAUCCUAACUACAUAAGCCAAGGUUGUUUAUAAUUAUUAGGAUUUUAAAUAGCAUGAAACAUAACCAGUGCUUAACAAUUGUAAAGUAUUGUGUAACUUAUAUUCAGAAC